UAAAAAACGAAUCUCCGAGCCGGGAUGAACCUAAAGAGCAAUCUAUGGACACCGGACAGGGUCUAGAACCCUCGGGGUAUACUUGGAAACGGGUAUGCCUUCACGUUUUGAAAAGGAGGUGGAUUAAAGCCAAC
rnacentral:ncRNA from 2 species